UCGCUUUGGCAGCGCAUAUACUAAAAUUGGAAUGAUACAGAGAAGAUUAGCAUGGCCCCUGCACAAGGAUGACAUGCAAAUUUGUGAAGCAUUCCAUAUUUUU
rnacentral:snRNA from 1 species